GGGGUUCAGACCCAGGGUCCCGAGCUUAAUGAUGAUCUUUUAGGGUACUAUGGUGUUGAAGGCUUAGCUACAUGACCCGCUAAACCGCGCACUUUAACACCCGCCGGCUUAACCCGGAAGCCAGCUGCACCAAUGUGUUGGAGGAAACACUUUUCAAUUUAAGACCAAAGUCAGCUUGCAGGCGCCCGGUCCACCACAAGGAGUCACUAGAGCGCAAUGAGCCAAAGAAAGCCUCCCGGGCCAAACCCUCGCCUAACCCGGAUGACGUUGGGCCAAUUGUGAGCCGCCAGUUACACAUCCUGGGAUUGAAUCCGGCUCUGUAGGGACACCUCAAGCACUGCGAUCUUGCCACCCAUUCUGAAACUAACUGCAGCUCUUUGUUAAUUGUUGCAGUCAUUUCAGUCGCUGUAGUAGCUGACAUGUAGAGUGUUGAGUCAUCCGCAUACAUAAACACACUGGCUUUACGCAAGGUAUGUCGAUAAUAAAGAUUGAAAAAAGUAAGGGGCCUCGACAGCUGCCCUGGGUAAUUCCUGAUUCUACCUGGAUUAUGUUGAAGAGGCUUCUGUUAAAAACACCCUCUGUGUUCUGUUAGACAGGUACAUCUUUAUCCACAUUAUAGCAGGUGGUGUAAAGCCAUAACACAUAGGUUUUUCCAGCAGCGGACUAUAAUCAAUAAUGUCAAAAGCCGCACGGAAGUCUAACAUAACAGCCCCCACAAUCUUUUUAUCAUCAAUUUCCCUCAGCCAAUCAGUCAUUUGUAUGAUAGUGCAUUGAUCAGAUACAGUUUAAAGUUUUUUUUGCCCAGUUGACCUUUUAAGGGCUAUCUGUUGUCUACACAGGAUCACAAGUUACAAUGACAUUUUUUUCAGAAACACUUCCAGCAGGGCACACUACUGGAAGACCCCUCAGCAUGGUUAUCCCUAAAAGCAGCUAAUGGAUUGAACAUUUCAUAUUUGUGACUCCAGGUUAAAAGUGAAAUCCUGGUGUGGGGUCGGACCAGAGCAGGAGAAGAGGGCAAGAACUACCAGUGUCUAGUGGAGCCAAUCAUUGAGAAUGAGUUGCUCAUCACCCAAGCUGUGUUCAGAGUCCAGCAGGGAAGGCUGCCUAUCCGACUGAGGAACAUCGGAGACUGCCCUACGUCGACACCAAACACUUGCCAUGGCCUUCAUAGUGAACCCUGCAGACGUCAUAUAGAAUGAUGUGAGUAUAUCCAGGGUGGGGGAACAGGCUUUGCAAGACAGUUUAGCACAUGUAUAACCACCAACAACAGCCUAUACAUCAACCGACUACAGAACAGCCUAUACUAGUUGACCUGACAGGUGUAGACAUUUCCCCUUAACAGAGAAUGAAACUGCAAGCACUGUUACAAAAGCACCAGGCUCCAUUUGCUGCCCAUGGUAAAGAUAAUGGAAUACAACCAUAGUGCUGUUAGGCGGGGCGGAGCAGGUGAACCCAAGUGCAGACUCAUACGAGGAGACAGGAGUAAGGUAACUAAGGUAUGUAUUGAAAAGCAGGGGGGAGAUGGGGUGCAGGCCAGGUGAAACUCAGGCGGGUAGCAUGGAACCAGGAACUGAGGCUGGCUCAAGAGGAGUAGGGUUAGGGUGACCAGGUCCGAAGUGGAAUCCAAGGAAGCAGUAGAGCGGGGGUCCAGGGCAGGGAAGCAGGACUGACGAGACGAGGGACUUGAGAAAGGUACCAGAGUCAGAGCGUACUGAACUGUAGCAGAGAGAAAAGCAGCGUCAGGCUAGGGAAAAACUGGCACAACAGGAUAACAAGAUCUAAGCAGGAACAAACGGCUUGAAAUGACUGAGCAGAGGCUACGAUCUAGCAGCGUGGAAGUGGUGGGGCUGAGUAUUUGUAGAGGUCUUGAUUAUGGAACAGGUUGCAGCUGGUGGGGAUACGCUCAGCCUCCAGCACACCUGUCUCUACUCACACAAUCACAUAAACCCACAGAGGGAGAGAGCACUGGGGGAGUGGCGGCAGGUUAGGGAGACAUGAUGAGAAGCAGAGGGCAUGGCAGGAGAAGAUGUAACAAGUGCAGCAUGUGAUCUCCACUGGAGAUAUAGCCCCAGUCAGAGAGCGCCACAGACAAAUCCCUCCCAAAAAUGUACCAAGAAGUGAAAACUGUCACGUCUGCUCCUGCUCCCCCUCUCUGGCGCUGGAGGUCGCCAGGCUGCUCAGCAUUACGCACACCUGUCACAAUGGUUAAGCGCACCUGCUCUUCGUCAGACUCACCUGGACUCCAUCACGUCAUUGAUUGCCUCCCCUAUAUCUGUCACUUCCUCUGUUUCAUUCCUGUGUCUGCAUUGAUGUUGUUAUGUUUCUCCAGUCCAGACGCUGGUCUUGGUUUAUGGCUAUUACUGAUUAAACCUGUACUUACUUACACCCUGUACUUGCUUCUUGUCUUCCAGCUUCUGUUGUUACAGAAAGCAUUGAUUCAAGGUAUGUUGAACUCAGGAAUAGUUAACCCAUGCACUAGCCCAUGGGCAGCCCCUAUUGUUUUGGUUAGAAAGAAGGAUGGCAUAUUGAGAUUUUGUGUGUACUAUCGUAAACUAAGCUAAACUAAAGUCACAAACCGACAAUGGUGCUUACCCACUCCCUCGUAUAGAGGAAUCUCUAGCCAGUUUGACCAAAGCCAAGUACUUCUCAACUUUAGACCUUGCUAUUGGCAGGCCCAGAUGUCUCCAGCACAUUAUGGAAAAGACUGCUUUAACAACUCCAAUGGAUUUGUUCGAGUUUGAUCGGAUGGCAUUUGGGGUUAUGCAACUGGCCUUCUACAUUCCAAAGAUUGAUCCAAACAUGUUUAGGAUAGCAAACUCUAGUAUCACUUUUGAUCUAUCUGGAUGAUGUUAUUGUGUUUUCUAAAUAUCUACAUCAGCCCAUCUAAAUCACAUGGAUUUAGUUUUCAGCAGACUAGCUAACUAUGGACUCAAACUGAAACCAAACAAAUACAUCUUUCUGAAGCAAGAAGUACAGUACCUGGGGCAUCGGGUAUCUCCUGAAGGAGUAUCAUCAGACCCGGACAAGGUCAAGUGUGUGUGUGUGCAGGACUGGCCCACACCCAAAACGGUAAAGGAACUUUGGUCAUUUCUUGGCUUAGCAGGAUACUACUUUAGAUUUGUAAAGGACUUUGCCAGAGUGCCAGCCCCUUACUUGAGCUGUUAACAGGGAUGGCCCCUAAACAAACAAGAAAGUAUCUCGACUCUCCUACCCACACUGGCUGGAAUCAGGCAUGUAAUAUGUCUUUUGCAAUCUUAAAACGGUCCCUCACUACCUCUCCAACUCUAGCUGACAUCUGUAUACAGAUGCCAGUAAGAGAGGCUUAGGGGCAAUUCUAGCCCAGGUACAAGAGGGUAAAGAACGGGUAAUCUCAUUUGCAAGUAGAAGCCCCCAUCCCUCAAAGAAAUUACGGUAACUAUACAUUUAAACUUGAAUUCCUUGCACUGAAGUGGGCCGUUACUGAAACGUUUGCAGAAUACCUCAAUGCCUCACCUAUUGUGGUUUAUACAGGCAAUAAUCCUCUGGUACAUCUAAACUCAGCUAAAUUGGAAAGCAGAGAUUGGUAGCCAGAUUGGCAAGUAUUGUGUAGGACGUAAUAACCAGAGUGCAGAUGCCUUGUCUCAUUUCCAUCCAGAAAACACAAUCCCAAACCAGCUGGAGGACUGAGACCCGGCAUUCCAGGAGAUGCCACCCAAAGUGGUAAAGACCCUGUGUGUGGGGGUGGGGUGGAGGACAAACAAGCCGUCAGAAGACCAGGAAGCAGAAGAAGGUCACUGCAAGCCACUCAUACCAGAGAUAACUGGCUCCGAAGAAGAGCCUUCAAGAACCGCACUGUGCUUUCUAUCUUCUCAUACUUAUAAGAGAAAAAUGACAUGAUUAUUAAGGCUACAUUUUUACAUGAUCUCCAUCAGAGAUCCAUUCCUAUUACUGAAACAUGGUAUAGUACUUUAAGAGUUUUAAAUGAAAAUAUGAGAUAGUUAGAAACUGAAAUGGUUGUUAUAUGGUAGGCCUAGUUUACAUGUACAUUCAAAAACCUUUCCAAUAACAGUAGAUGUCUAAAUGUGUGCUGUGUUAACACAGGUCAGGCACGGUUUCCAUAAAGAAUUCUUAAACACUCCCACUGGGCACACAGUGGUUGAAUCAACAUUGUUUCCACGUCAUUUCAAUUAAAUUACGCUGAACCAACAUGGAAUAGACAUUGAACUGACGUCUGUGCCCAGUGGGCUGUGACUUCUGGGAGAGGAUGAGGGCAGCCACCUGACAGACAGGAACGAGAGUCGAAAGAGGCCCUAGAUGUGCUCCGGGAAUGGAAUCAUCUUACAUGGAAAGAGGGUGUGUUGUGUCGGACAUUCCAGGACCUCAAAGAGGUAGAGCCGAUUGUCCAGCUGGUUGUCCCUACUGGUGAGAGACAGCUGGGAACUGUAUCAUGGGAGGGCAGGCUACUGGGAGGCAGAAAAGACCACAGCGCUAAUCCAUGCCAGAUUCUAUUGGCCAAACCUAGCCAGAGACAUUCCAAAUUGGUGUGCCACUUGUCAGCUUUGUGUCUUACGAAAGGCCCAGUUUGUCUGAAACAAGCACCUUCAGUGCCAAUCAAAAUGUCAGCCCCUCUUGAACUAAUGUCUAUAGACUACCUGAGCAUAGGUCAUCCAGAGACCCUCAUCACAACGUGCUGGUAAUCGUAGACCAUUUCACUAAAUAUACUUGGGCCACCCCUACUAGGGACCAGACGGAGACUACUACUGCAAAUGCACUGUGGCAGAAGGGAACGGCGGGUGUGAAAGAUUUAAUGGAAUGACCAUAGGUUUGCUGGGGACGCUUGGAGUGGAAAGACGGAAAGACGGCGCUGGCAUUUCCUGCAGGAAAUGAUUGAGAUAUACAACAACACGUUGCACAACACUACAGGAUAUACUGUACACCUGCUGAAGAAUCCCCUCUGCUGCCUGGGGAGUAGACACUCGUGAGAGACAUUAGAGCAAGGGGCCGGGGUAAGCUUGCAGACAAUUUGGAGCAGCUCCCUCAUGUGGUAGUAAAACAAUCUGACCCAGAACUGCCGGUCUAUGUGGUCAGACCAGAAAAAGUAAUGGGAGAGGGUUUUGCACCGUAAUCUUGUUCAUUUCUCCCAGUAGAGAGACCAGCACAACCCCCUAGGGAAGUUGAUCUCCCUUUUAGACUAAACAAAGCCCCCAGCCACCCUCUGACUAACACGCCAUUGAGAGAUACAAUUAUAGCCCCUGUUGCUGUCUCCUGGAUUGGGUUUUGGGUCCCUACAGGUGCUGAGCCGGAAGCUGGAGAUGGGUGCCAUGGUGAUGCAGAGAAACUAUGAGUGGGAGAUGGGUGCCAUGGUGAUGCAGAGAAACCACGAGCGGGAGAUGGGUGCCAUUGUGCCACGGAAGACUGCAGGUGGGAGAUGGGUGUCCGUGGGACUCCAAUCUGAAGAUGGGGACCACUGUGGCAGGGCUGAAAAUGGCCAAUGUAACCUUCAUGAACCAAGAGAUCUACAAGGACCACCAAGGGAGUUCACCCCAUAAGAAACAGAGACUUAGGUUAAACGGUUGGGUUAUGUUAUGGCCAUUGGGGACACUGACCUUUCAGCGGGGAAGGAUGUAACAGGGUUCUACAAACCUGCUUAACGUUAUUACUUCUUUCACUAGUGUGGUUUGACUGAGCACAUACUUUACAUGUUUUCACAUUUUGAAUUAUUUGCACGAUUGAGAAUUCUGCACUUAACGAUUGAUUUUGCGCACGUCACCAUAGUUUGCUGUGUUUCACGAUUGAUUUAAGGUGUGUACAGUGCUGGUUACACCCCUCUCUCUCUCUCUCUUCCCUUCCUACAUAAUGAUCUCCAGUCAGUUCUCUGGUAACAAUGUCUGACACCAGGUGUUUCUGUUAAGGUUGGUCCGCUAUCCUUUUCCUCAUGGUCGUGUGCCCUAUUGUAUAAUUAUUGGAAUGCUGUCUGAUAUCGGGUGUAUGUGGCAAGGUCUGUGCUGGGAAACCCUGAGCUGCCCGUGAGCUAUCCACGCAACUGUUGAUGCUACUGUAGAUACUGCCGCUGAGCAGCUACUGAGCUACUAAAUGAACUGAGUUCAACUGAAUGUGUGCAGUACGUGAAGCAGACUACGGUGGGCCGCUCUGCUUGAACACCCCAACAGCAACGGAUGAACUGAACUAGCCUACUGGACUGCUGGCAAUCCUUUUUAAUCAAGAACCUCUUUUGUGACUCCCUUUCCUCUUCCC